CUCUUCCCCACCAGGCCUGUGGGCCCCACCUUCUGCGCCCAGCCCAGGGCCAUCCUCACCAGCCCAGGCGCUUGCACAAACAGCGCUUCACCCAAACCCAGACCACCCGUCCCGUAAGUGAAGUGUGCGCCUGCGCCUGGGCUGGAGGCUUGGAGACUAGGCGGUGCUCUCCUCCCUCCCAAUUUAGUUUUCCUUCCCAGUUCCUGGGAGGGUGUUUGUUGUUGGGGGAGGGGGAGGAGAGAUGAAGAGGAGCCGCCUGUUAUCAGUUAGCUGGAGUCUUAGGUCACAAACAUUCCUGGCCUGUUUUAUCCUUGUAAGUAAUACCUUUCAGUAGAAAUGCUACCACAGAUAGUCCCAGUUUCCAGAUCUGUUCCCCCUCAGGUUUAUCACUUUCUGGGCCGUGACCUUCAUGACCUUCAGUUGUUUGUUGUAACAUUAUCCCCAUUGAUAUAUUGGUAUAUAUUUUUGAGACUUCAGCCCUUGUCCUUUUUAAGAACUGUGUUCACAGUGCAGUCAGUCUCCCAUACAAAACACUUAUCCUAUAAAACACUAUGUCAAUCACAUUUUCUAGUUGAGUAGUUGCAUUUCCAUGUGUUUUUUUGAAACCCCCCAAAAAUGAACUUUAAAAUGGAAGUUGUUAGUAAACCCCGAAUUUGAUGUGAUGCCAGUCGGAGUGUUUGUCUUGCUUGACUCUCAGUCCCCUCAGCCUGGGCGGGGCCGGGGGCAGGUGGCCAGGACCCUGGCCUGGCCCCCUUUGCAUCCUGAUGUGUGGACCUGUGUGUGCUCGUAUGAAUACGUGCGUGUAAAGUUUGAUUUCUAACUUUUGGAUUCCCAACUGGAACCCCUCCUACUAUGACAUGAAUUCCUCACCAAAUGAAGGCCAGAAUGUUCUGACCGUUUUAGCCAGAGAUUGACUUUUUAGUAGGAACUUAGCUCUUAGCUGAAUGCCUUUAGGGUGUUUCCCAGAUUUAUCUCCUUGGGACCAAAGCAAAGUGUCCUCCACUGGUCAACUCUGUUUCAAAACCUGGUCCAUCAGAUGGUGUUAAUCUUUCCCUGUUUACAGAAUCAUUGUUUGACAUUUACACUUGUUAAGCCCCAUGGGUACCAUACCCGUGCUUACUUUAGAUAGAUGGGAGCGUGAAAAGAAAGCUGGUGGGGAAGAUUUAGGGAAAAGGAAGGAAGCCAGCCAUGAGUGAUCAAUGCAGGUUAGUCUCAAAAUACUGACAGAACUUUCCAUUCUGUUUUGUUUUUUGUUUUUUUGCGGUACACGGGCCUCUCACCGCUGCGGCCUCUCCCGCUGCGGAGCACAGGCUCCGGACGUGCAGGCUCAGCGGCCACGGCUCACGGGCCCAGCCACUCCGCGGCAUGUGGGGAUCCUCCCGGACCGGGGCACGAACCCACGUCCCCUGCAUUGGCAGGCGGACUCUCAACCACUGUGCCACCAGGGAAGCCCGGAACUUUCCAUUUUGACAUUUGGAAACAUCCAGAGGUCUUGUUAGACAGUAAUGGCUUUUGUCUCUAAACCUAUUCCUGUCAUUGGGAGGGAAGAUGUCUUAAUUUUAUAAACAAGUGGCACCUCCAGGGUGAGAUUAAUCCAGGGUCGGGCCCUUGGAGGCGACCUUCACCCUGAAACUUUGUGGAGAGGACUUUGGGAGAAAUGCCUCUGGGCCGAGUGUCCGGACUGAGUGUCCAGGCUGCCGCAGCCCACCCUGUCCCCUCCCCCAACUGCAUCCUGGAGAUCUGUCUCCUGGCCUUAUGGUUUUCCUUUGGGUUUUUAAAAGGGGAACAUAUGUGCUCCUGUUUUUGUUCCCUUUCUGCUACCAGGGUUCACUCCUUUAGUUUCCUUAGGCAAUUCUAGCAAAAAUCUUGAGUGAAAGAUGGACGGUGAUAUACUAGCCAAGGAGGCAGCUGGAAAGUCUCCCGAUUUGGCUGUUGUGUUCUGAAGCCCCACCCCCUCUGCAUCCCUGAUGUGGGUACCAAUUCAGGUGCCUUUGAGAUGUCUUCCGACUUGGAAAAGCACUGCCCGCUCCUAGCUGCUUGGGUCUGAACCUCAUUCCAGACAGCAAGUGGCAGGAUGGCGGAGCUGUUCUGGCCAAUUAAGGCUGGCUGUUAUUUUUUAGAGCCUUGCAGUUGGUUCCUUGGAGCGUGUCCACAGCUUUUGCUUUGGGGAGGAAUUGAGUCGGCAGGAGGAAGGCAAGGACGUGGCCCAGCCCCAGGAACUAAGAUGAAAACAGACUAACUCGCAGUCACCUUCUCACGGCCGGUCGUCCCGUCACCUUGAGACUCAGCACUCUUCAGUGGACUCUUUCAGAAGAAAAGCCAAAGGCAAGAGGCCUCAGGAGGUCAGGCCUCGGCCCCGCCACCUCCGUGACUCGGUGUCCCUGCUCGCAGGGACGGCGCCUGCCCCACUGGAUGCUCUUCCCGGACACCCGCAGCCCUCGCCCUCAUGCCCUCUGGGGCCUCAGGUCGCCUUUUCCCCGUCCCGGAGUCUCCGCCUUCCCUGCUGCGUCUUUCUGGGCAGAGGCAGGUCACUGGCUGUCCCCCAGGAUUUGCUUUGGCUACCGCCUGUCUCCUUCUUCACGUGCGGCUCCUGAUAACCAGCGUUCUCGCCCGGACCUGGGGCACCCAGCGCCUAGCACUCAGUCCAUUUUUCCCGAAAGGGACAAUACACACCAAGAGAGAUGCUGAUCUCUUUUCUUCCCCAAAACAAAAUCGCUGGAGACGCUUGAGCCGUGUCGGCUGCCCGGGAACGAGGACGGGCCUUCCAGAUGCUGGGACUCCCAGCGCCAGCAUCCUCACCCGCUUUCUUCUGACCUUUUGAUCCCAAGGCCCAAGAGGUCCAGGAAGAGAGCGGACUGAGCACGUGGGCAGCUGGCAUGGGUUCCCAGGCGACUGACCUCCCCCUGCUCUGGAGCCGCGGCCCUGGGAGCUUCCCGACGAUCUCCGACCAGGAUUUGAGGUGAACGGCUUCCCUUCCCGGUCCCAAGGAGAGCAUCUGUCCCCCGGUGCCCUGGACGCCAUGGAACUGGUAAUUGUUGGCCCUGCAUCUUCUCAGGCUGCAAAACUUAAGUCACAGUCUGUUUGUUGCCUCAGUUUCUGGCUUGUUUAUCAAGGUCCACUCCUGAGAAAAACGUCCUGUUAUCCUCUCUCAGGUAAUCUACCUCCAAGGAUCUGCCUCUGCCUGAGACAGAGGGACUCUGUGCUAGGUUCCGAGGAGCCUUGUUUUCCAUUUUCAGUCUCCCAAACUCAAGGACGAGGGACCUCACGAUGUAUAUAGUGUGACUUUCUUUCCUUUUGGCCACAAUCAGAUCAUCUCAAGCUCUAACCCUGGUUCUCUUCCUUUAUCAGAAGCGUGUGUUCUUAUUGUUGAUUGUGGCUCUCAUUUACCAAACACAUAACCUCUUUAUCCUCACAAACCCUGGAGUGAGGCCAGCCUCACCUGGGGGACUGGGGGUGAGAGAUCAGAGGCAGGUGACUGCUUGAAGCAAACAGCACGGCCAGGAUUCACACUCAGUCCUGACCUUAAGCUGGAAAUAAAACUGUUUGAAAAAUCA